rnacentral:rRNA from 1 species
AACGAACGCUGGCGGCGUGCCUAACACAUGCAAGUCGAGCGCGAAAGGAGCAAUCCGAGUAGAGCGGCGCACGGGUGCGUAACACGUGGAUAAUCUGCCUCAGGGUUGAGGAUAACCUUCCGAAAGGUUGGCUAAUACUCGGUAAGCUUACGGUGACUUCGGUCGCUGUGAGAAAACUAGACCUCUAUUUAUAAGUUUAGGCCCAGAGAUGCGUCCGCGGCCCAUCAGCUAGUUGGCGGGGUAACGGCCCACCAAGGCUACGACGGGUAGCUGGUCCGAGAGGACGAUCAGCCACACUGGAACUGAGACACGGUCCAGACUCCUACGGGAGGCAGCAGUGGGGAAUGUUCCACAAUGGGCGAAAGCCUGAUGGAGCAACGCCGCGUGUGUGAUGAAGGUCUUCGGAUCGUAAAGCACUUUCGACUGGGACGAAAAACCUUUGGCUAACAUCCAGGGGCCUGACGGUACCAGGAGAAGAAGCACCGGCUAACUCUGUGCCAGCAGCCGCGGUAAAAC